CGUAAGCAACCUGCCCGAAAGACCGGGACAACAGCUCGAAAGGGCUGCUAAUACCGGAUGUGUCCACUUUGCCUCAUGGCUUAGUGAGUAAAUCAUUUAUGGCUUUCGGAGGGGCUUGCGGCCUAUCAGCUAGAUGGCGGUGUAACGGACCACCAUGGCGACGACGGGUAGCUGGUCUGAGAGGAUGGUCAGCCGGACUGGGACUGAGAUACGGCCCAG
rnacentral:rRNA from 1 species